rnacentral:rRNA from 1 species
AACGAACGCUGGCGGCAUGCCUAACACAUGCAAGUCGAACGAAGUCUUCGGACUUAGUGACGCACGGGUGCGUAACGCGUGGGAAUCUGCCCUUGGGUACGGAAUAACUCAGAGAAAUUUGUGCUAAUACCGUAUAAUGUCUUCGGACCAAAGAUUUAUCGCCCAAGGAUGAGCCCGCGUAAGAUUAGCUAGUUGGUGGGGUAAAAGCCUACCAAGGCGACGAUCUUUAGCUGGUCUGAGAGGAUGAUCAGCCACACUGGGACUGAGACACGGCCCAGACUCCUACGGGAGGCAGCAGUGGGGAAUAUUGGACAAUGGGCGAAAGCCUGAUCCAGCAAUGCCGCGUGAGUGAUGAAGGCCCUAGGGUUGUAAAGCUCUUUUAACAGGGAUGAUAAUGACAGUACCUGGAGAAUAAGCGCCGGCUAACUCCGUG